UACAGAGGGUGCAAGCGUUGUUCGGAAUUACUGGGCGUAAAGCGCGUGUAGGCUGCUUCGCAAGUCGGGUGUGAAAGCCCUGGGCUCAACCUAGGAAGUGCACUCGAAACUGCGAAGCUUGAGUCCUGGAGAGGAAGGCGGAAUUCUCGGUGUAGAGGUGAAAUUCGUAGAUAUCGAGAGGAACACCGGUGGCGAAGGCGGCCUUCUGGACAGUGACUGACGCUGAGACGCGAAAGCGUGGGGAGCAAACAGG
rnacentral:rRNA from 1 species